CCUCUGAGAAGAGGAAAUAAAAGGGUGUUCCAAAAAAAACAGGCAAGUCUCCUUAACUCGCUAAACAAAAUCAUGAUCUGUUAAUAUUUUGUUUUGUUUUCUUAUCACCUAGAUUGACAUGAUUUGCAUAUCUUGAAGACUAAUGGAGCACGAGAAGAAGGAAAGAAUAGUUCAGUUUUUGGCAAAAUGUUCACUUCAGCUUGAGAUGUUAAGAUCUACGAAUUCUUUUCUCAAGAUGAAGGAACAAAGCAAAAAGGAGGCUAAUUUUUUUCAUUUAGCCUUAAAGGCAUG